CGUAAUUAUCUCUUCCCUCUCUCGUCCUUGUCGCUCUAAAAUUCUCUCCUUUGCUCUUUCCGUCUCUCCUAGCAUUCGUAUUUCUUGUUAUUUCUCUCUCUUUCCUCUUCGCAGUGUCACCGUCGGAUUUUCCACCGUCCGAUCACCUGUCAACAUUCCGGCUAUUCGUUUCAAAUGACUCGCUAUUUGGCUUCGCGUCAGGGUAGACUAUGCUGCGAUUCGGUUUCCAAAUUGGUACAAUUCCUUUCUAAUUCUUAUUUUAGAUCCAUUUGCUUAUGAUUUUUUAUGGCUGGAUCAGUCAUUUGAUUCGAUCCUUUAUCGAGGGUGGCUAAUUAUUCUAUGCAUGCCGAUCCAUCCAUCGAAAUUCCACCGACCACCAAAGCCCGAUUUCAUUCCGAUUAUCCCCAGCUCAAAAAAAUUAGAGCUAUCGAUUUUAGGGUUAGGGCUUGUUCGCAUUGAGAAAUGUUUAAGAAAAUUAUAAAGGGUGGGCACAAAAAGCCCUCUAAAUCUGAUGGUAACGAUUAUGGAUUUGGGCCACCGGGGAACCGAAACCCUGGGUCAGGACCUGCAUCAAAUGUGGUGGUUAACCACGCGUCUCGGACAGCUCCUGGCCCUGCAGCUCCCAACAUUGGCACGACGGUUACGGCUCCGCCGCCUAUGAAUUCGAUGGAGGCCCUUCCGCUUUUCCGGGAUGUGCCUGUAUCGGAGCGACAAAACCUGUUUCUCCGAAAGCUUCAGGUCUGUUGCUUCCAAUUGGAUUUCAGCGAUACGCUAAAAUCGGUCCGAGAGAAGGAAAUCAAGAGACAAACGCUGUUGGAAUUGGUCGAUUUUAUUCAAUCAGGCUCGGGAAAAAUCACGGAAAUCUGUCAAGAGCAAAUGAUUAGAAUGGUUUCGGUGAAUAUAUUCCGCAGUUUGCCCCCAGCUUCCUAUGAGACCACCGGGCAAGAAGCUUUAGAUCCUGAAGAGGAUGAACCUUAUUUGGAACCCUCGUGGCCUCAUUUGCAGCUUGUUUAUGAGCUUCUCUUAAGAUAUGUUGUUUCUUCAGAUACAGACACGAAGGUUGCCAAGAAGUAUAUUGAUCAUUCUUUUGUGUUGAAACUGCUGGAUUUGUUUGAUUCUGAGGAUCCGCGUGAAAGGGAGUAUCUGAAGACGAUUCUUCAUAGGAUUUAUGGCAAAUUUAUGGUGCAUCGCCCAUUUAUUAGGAAAGCAAUAAAUAAUAUAUUCUAUCGGUUUAUACACGAGACUGAGAGGCACAGUGGGAUAGGAGAACUAUUGGAGAUUCUAGGAAGUAUUAUAAACGGUUUUGCACUGCCAAUGAAAGAGGAGCAUAAGCUGUUUCUUGUAAGGGCGCUUAUACCACUGCAUAAACCAAAGCCAAUUUCUUUGUACCAUCAGCAGCUUUCUUAUUGUAUUGUCCAAUUUGUUGAAAAGGAUUACAAGCUUGCAGAUACAGUCAUAAGGGGUUUGUUGAAGUAUUGGCCUCUGACUAAUUGUCAGAAGGAAAUUCUCUUCCUUGGAGAACUUGAAGAAGUGCUGGAGGCAACACAAUCUGCAGAAUUUCAGCGCUGCAUGGUUCCUCUAUUCAGACAGAUUGCUCGCUGCCUCACUAGCUCCCACUUUCAGGUUUGGAAUGUUAACGUCUCUCUUCAGAGCUAUGCUUUUAAGUACAUAGUUUAGCUUGCUGGAGCUUGGAUACUUUGGUUAGAGUGGUUCUUUGGGAUAUUCUGUACCACCUUUUGAUUUAUGCCUGACAAUGUUACAUUGCCUGUUAGCUGGUGUUAUUGCUGACAUGCAUUGAAUUGAUAUUCUCUUGUAUUCUAUUGAUUGUGGUUGGCACUCUCUCUAGUGUGAUGGACAUUCUAGUUUCAUUCUUUCCUUCUUGUUGUUGCUAAUGCAUUGGAGAGGUGAAAUAAAAAGAAAGCUGUUUCUUAUUUUUUUCUUUGGGAAAGUAUGCUGCUUAAAAUUUUCCUUUGGGGAGCUGUCUUCUUUGUUUAUAGAAUUUUUACUUGCCAUGAAUGUGGUUUUGUUCCUUCAUAAAUUAAUCCUGCAGUUGACAUGGAAAUGACCCAAAACUGCUGAUCUAGUCAAUAGAGUGUAUGACAUUGUUGUUUGAGCUACUGUUGAGAAAAGCAUUUCCUUGAAUGUAUUAGUUAGAAAACAUUAAAAAUUGAUUAAAUUUAUUUUGACAUAAUUUAAUCACAAUGACACCAAAAUAAUAGAACUGCUUGCUUGUUCCAAACUUCUCUUUUCAACAUCUUCUCAAAUAGUACUUUUCAACAUCUUCUCAAAUAGUACUUUUCUGAAAAAGCGCUUUUGUGGCUCCUGCCAACCUCAAUGCCAAACAGGAUGUGGUGGUGUUAUUUGGUUUUUCAUGUCAUCUAACUGUCAAUUUAUUGAUGCCAAAACCUUAACCUGCUUUUUGUUUCUAUUUGGAACUUCAAAUUUCUUGAUCAUAUGCAUUUGGCAGUGUUCAUUAUCCUUGUAGGCUUUCCUUUUGUUGUUGGCUUUUGCAUGUUUCUUAAAGGUAUAGUGAUGUAGUAAUGAAUGAGAUUUGAAUUGCGUUCUACUUUUAGAUUAUCAGUUGUUCCAUCUGACUUGUUAUCUUAAAUCCACUUGGGGUAGGCUUGAUAAAUCCCUUUGCCUUUCAGCGCACAUCUUAGUGGACCUUUUCCUUUUAUUGCUAUAACUGCUGUUCUGUCUCAUAUCUUGUUCUCAAAAUUGCGACCUUUAAUCAACAGAUUAUGAUCAACUGAGACCAAUCAAAUAUGAUGCAUGUCUGACUGUGUUGAGCUUUUUUUGUUCAGUCGAAAUUUUCUGUAUUGUAUUAACUAUAUGAUUCCUUGGUUCAAUCAGUGUUUCUUUUGCAUUCAAUUUAUGCUUCUUUUUAAGCUGUAUAGCUUCAUGGUCUGUUGCAGUUAUGUCAGAGAAAUUUGCUUAGUUAUGACAGAAUCUUGAUUUGACUUUCUGAUCUGACUGUUCCAACACCCUUUUUUUUUGGGAGUGGGGGUGUGGUAAGAUGGAUGCAUAAUCACGCGAUCUGUACAGAUGGCAAAUUUAAAACAUAAUUUUGUGAAUCAUCAUGUUUCCUCUAUGAUCUCAUGAGCUUACUUCUUUGUUUGCCUAGACUUCUUCUUUUCAUGCCUCCAUAUUUUUCUCCGAAGCUCUUCCUUGUAAAACUUAGAACUGGCCUUCUUCCAGAGUUUCUUAUGAUUGCUCAACAAAAUGUACCCUUUUGGAGACUCUGGGGGAUGAGAGAUGAGUCGUGU